GAAAUCACCGGCUUAGCCGGUAAAAAUUAUAUCCACCUUGUGUGCAAACAAUGGAAAAAAAAGAGAAAAUUGGAUAUUUUGUAUCCAACUUCUCUAAAAUUCUUUAUAAACUCUAUCAAAUUUUGAAUAAAACAAUUUUUUUUUUAAAUGAAAAAAUAUUAUA
rnacentral:misc_RNA from 1 species